CGUAUCCAUGGAAGCGGGGAGAGCCCCCGGUCUUCUUCCCCCGUCUGACAGACGCCCUCUGGGCAAACCCGUCGUGGGGGUACGUCGAGCAUCGGUUCUGGCACGACGUCGUGGACGAGCGAGGAAUCGUGACGGCGGACCUGAGAGUCCUCACGACCAGGGGCACCGAUGAGAUGGCGCGCGAACUGGCGGCGGAGGCGAAGGCGGCGGCGGCGGAGAAGGUGACGCAUUUCCGCGCUUGCGAUACGAUGUGCAAGGACACUGGUCGCGUCCCCGCUGCGCCGUGACGCACUGCGGUCGUUAGCGGCCACUUUGACGCGCCAUCUUGAAACUGUUUAUGGGGCAACCCGCCUGGCAUGCAGGCAGCAGCGGCAGACCCGGCUGCGAAACAGGAGGUGGAAGCGGGAGCUGCCGCGCCGGCGGCUGCCGCAGCUGCCGGGGGCGAAGGGGACGCCGGCAACGGUGCCCUGGGCGCGGC
rnacentral:lncRNA from 1 species